rnacentral:rRNA from 1 species
AACGAACGCUGGCGGCAGGCCUAACACAUGCAAGUCGAGCGAACUCUUCGGAGUUAGCGGCGGACGGGUGAGUAACGCGUGGGAACGUGCCCUUUGCUACGGAACAACAGCUGGAAACGGCUGCUAAUACCGUAUGAUGUCUUCGGACCAAAGAUUUAUCGGCAAGGGAUCGGCCCGCGUUGGAUUAGGUAGUUGGUGGGGUAAUGGCCUACCAAGCCGACGAUCCAUACCUGGUUUGAGAGGAUGAUCAGGCACACUGGGACUGAGACACGGCCCAGACUCCUACGGGAGGCAGCAGUGGGGAAUUAUAGACAAUGGGGGCAACCCUGAUCUUGCCAUGCCGCGUGGACGAUGAAGGCCUUAGGGUUGUAAAGUCCUUUCACCGGUGACGAUAAUGACGGUAGCCGGAGAAGAAGCCCCGGCUAACUCCG